rnacentral:sRNA from 1 species
UUUCCGUAGGUGAACCUGCGGAAGGAUCAUUGUCGAAACCUGCCCAGCAGAGCAACCUGCGAACGUGUACGUAAUAUUCGGAAAGCAAGCGGUGGCCUUGCAGCCCCAAUUGUGGCCCGCUGUUGGGGGGUGCACUCCGACCCCCUAAGGGGAGACGCGUGAACACCCCAACAAAAUAACGAAACCCGGCGCGAACCGCGCCAAGGAACUUUAAGAAAAAAAGAGAGCCUUCCCCCGAUGCCCUGUUCGCGGGUGCUAGGGGGGCAGUGUCAUCUCUCACGAAUCUAAACGACUCUCGGCAACGGAUAUCUCGGCUCUCGAAAUGCGAUACUUGGUGUGAAUUGCAGAAUCCCGUGAACCAUCGAGUUUUUGAACGCAAGUUGCGCCCGAAGCCAUUAGGUUGAGGGCACGUCUGCCUGGGCGUCUCACAUUGCGUCGUUCCCGAUCCCAACCACAACGGGUGUUGGUGUUCGGAAGCGGAUUUUGGCCCCCCGUACACUCGCGUAUGCGGUCGGCCUAAAAACGAGUCCCUGGCGAUGCGUGUCACGACAAGUGGUGGUUGAUAAGCCGUUGCGUCCUGUCGUGCACUGCUUCGUCGCCGGCGGUUCCUCUAACGACCCUGAAGUGCCGUUGCAACGGUGCCUCGAUCGCGACCCCAGGUCAGGCGGGACUACCCGCUGAGUUUAA